UCGCUCGGGUUUCUCUUCAGCACGCACAAAUCUUUCGCCUUUAACUAAAGAUUUCCAUGGAGAGGAACGCACCUGAGUGUGUGCUAUUUUUGGAUGCUCCGUCCACACGACGGGGCA